UCAAUGAUAGUUUAAAUCAAAACACUUCACCGUUAAUGAAGUAAUAUAAAACAUUUUCAUUGAA
rnacentral:tRNA from 1 species